CUCAUUAAAUUAAUCUGACUCAUACAGAAUGCUUGUUCAAUAUAACAUUGAUGUUUUUCCAUACACUGUGUGAAGAAUCUGAAUCUUUGAGAUGAAAUAAAAUAAAAUAAAAUUUACAUAGAAAUGAGCAUCAGCACUUUCAUCAUCAAUACUCUGAUCAAGUGAUUGAUCCAUUGAGAAACAGCAUGAUCAGAGUGAUCCAAGUCCCUGCUGGAGUCAGUCAGAGCAUUUCCAUAGAGAGCCACUUUGCAUCAGCAGCACCAUGCUCCAGUGCUCUGGGAGAGUUUAUAGUCCUGAGAGUUGAAGACUGGAUGACUGACAGCUGUCCUUCAUGACAACAGAAGACACAGAAAUCCUCCUCAUCAGAAACAUGACUUUGGUCUCCGUCCUCAUCUGGACUCUCCUCUGCUUCACUCAGGGGUCUGUUGGACAAAAUGUUGUUGUGACUCAGUCAGCAGCCAAAUCAGUGCAGCUUGGUCAAACUGUCUCUGUUGACUGUAAGGCCAGUCCAAAAGUAGCUCACUACACUGGGUCAAAAUACUACCUGUCCUGGUACCAUCAGAAACCUGGAGAAGCUCCUAAACUUCUGAUCUACCUCACAUCAGACAGAUUUUCAGGAAUCUCCUCCAGAUUCAGUGGAAGUGGAGCAGGGAAUGGAGUUGACUUCACUCUGACCAUCAGUGGAGUCCAGGCUGAAGAUGCAGGAGUUUACUACUGUCAGAGUUAUCACUCUAUCAACAGUCAAGCUGUGUUCACACAGUGAAAAGGCGUCGUACAAAAACCUCCCUCAG